CGGCUGGCUGGUGGACCGGCUGCCGCGGCGCCGGUUCCUGUUCGCCGCGAACCUGGCGUCGGCGGCGAUCCUGCUGCCGCUGCUCGC
rnacentral:tRNA from 1 species